AGAGUUUGAUCCUGGCUCAGGACGAACGCUGGCGGCGUGCUUAACACAUGCAAGUCGAACGAUGAACCACUUCGGUGGGGAUUAGUGGCGAACGGGUGAGUAACACGUGGGCAAUCUGCCCUUCACUCUGGGACAAGCCCUGGAAACGGGGUCUAAUACCGGAUAACACUUCCACUCUCCUGGGUGGAGGUUAAAAGCUCCGGCGGUGAAGGAUGAGCCCGCGGCCUAUCAGCUUGUUGGUGAGGUAAUGGCUCACCAAGGCGACGACGGGUAGCCGGCCUGAGAGGGCGACCGGCCACACUGGGACUGAGACACGGCCCAGACUCCUACGGGAGGCAGCAGUGGGGAAUAUUGCACAAUGGGCGAAAGCCUGAUGCAGCGACGCCGCGUGAGGGAUGACGGCCUUCGGGUUGUAAACCUCUUUCAGCAGGGAAGAAGCGAAAGUGACGGUACCUGCAGAAGAAGCGCCGGCUAACUACGUGCCAGCAGCCGCGGUAAU
rnacentral:rRNA from 1 species